rnacentral:rRNA from 1 species
GACGAACGCUGGCGGCGUGCUUAACACAUGCAAGUCGAACGGAAAGGCCCUGCUUGCAGGGUACUCGAGUGGCGAACGGGUGAGUAACACGUGGGUGAUCUGCCCUGCACUUCGGGAUAAGCCUGGGAAACUGGGUCUAAUACCGGAUAGGAGCCAUUUUUAGUGUGAUGGUUGGAAAGUUUUUUUGGUGUGGGGUGAGCUCGCGGCCUAUCAGCUUGUUGGUGGGGUAAUGGCCUACCAAGGCGGCGACGGGUAGCCGGCCUGGGAGGGUGGACGGCCACAUUGGGACUGGGAUACGGCCCAGACGCCUACGGGGAGCAGCAGGGGGGGAUAUUGCACAAUGGGCGCGAGCCUGAUGCAGCGACGCCGCGUGGGGGAUGACGGCCUUCGGGUUGGAAACUCCUUUCGCUAGGGACGAAGCUUUUUGUGACGGUACCUAGAGAAGAAGCACCGGCUAACUACGUG